UACGUAGGGGGCAAGCGUUGUCCGGAAUCAUUGGGCGUAAAGCGCGUGUAGGCGGCUGAGUAAGUCUGCUCUGAAAGCCCGGGGCUCAACCCCGGGAGGCGGGUGGAUACUGCUCAGCUCGAGUCCGGAAGAGGAGUGUGGAAUUCCGAGUGUAGAGGUGAAAUUCGUAGAUAUUCGGAGGAACACCAGUGGCGAAGGCGGCUCACUGGUCCGGUACUGACGCUGAGGUGCGAAAGCGUGGGGAGCAAACAGG
rnacentral:rRNA from 1 species